rnacentral:rRNA from 1 species
AGAUUGAACGCUGGCGGCAUGCCUUACACAUGCAAGUCGAACGGCAGCACGGGAGCAAUCCUGGUGGCGAGUGGCGAACGGGUGAGUAAUAUAUCGGAACGUGCCCAGUCGUGGGGGAUAACUACGCGAAAGCGUGGCUAAUACCGCAUACGCCCGUACGGGGGGAAAGGGGGGGAUCGCAAGACCUCUCACUAUUGGAGCGGCCGAUAUCAGAUUAGCUAGUUGGUGAGGUAAAGGCUACACCAAGGCGACGAUCUGUAGCUGGUUUGAGAGGACGACCAGCCACACGUGGGACUGAGACGACGGCCCAGACCUCCGACGGGAGGCAGCAGGUGGGUAAUUUGGACAAGUGGGGGAAACCCUGGACUCCGAGCCACUCCCGCGUGU